rnacentral:lncRNA from 1 species
GUCCAAGGUGAUAUAAUUGUGCAACAGGAUUAGAAAGUUGUCAAUAGAACUGAAAUUUGCACUCUCAUUCACAUCCAUGAAAACCUCAGAGAUUUAAUUCUCAUAUCACAUGUGAUUCUAUUGAUUGAAGUCUACAGGAGUCAAAGAGUAAUCUGCAAUUUGUGUCUCCUGUGCCUACAUUAGAGGCCUGUGCAUUGCAAAAACGAUAGUAGGGGGUAAAUAAAUACAGCGGCUGGUGGCAAAAUCAUGAGAUUCUUCUCAGAGUUUCUUGUUUUGUUGUAUUAUAUUUAUUUUUUAUUUUCCUAACUUUUAUCACUUCGUGUUCUGAAACUAGGAGAUAUCAAUCAUUUCCAGGCAGCAGAAGAAUGUGGCAGUGGGGAAUACAAAGCCUGGUUCCCCUUGUUGCAAUAAAUCGUUUAUGAUCACUGCUGUGGAGGAAGGAUUGUUCCCUCACAUUUACCACAGACACGGGAAAGAUGGCGGAGAAAGGCAAUUUAUACAUUGAUUUGCUCCCCAUUUCUGCUGAUGAUUCAAUGUUACUUUGGGCAGAUCCCAUGGAGACUGUUCUGAAGUUUGCUCCUGGUCUGCCAGUAGCUGACAAAGUAGAAAGGUGUGCUUUUCUCUCUUUCCUGUAUAGAUUUAGAGGCAUUGCCAAUUUAAUCCGCGACUGAGGCUCUGCAAUGGUGCAAGUCUAUCCUACUACUUCAAAUUCAAUGAUGCAACCUGAGUUUACGCUAAUUAACUUUCAGGGAUUGAACCAAUGUAAAGCUUUUGGACUCUGACACUUCUUUGAAAACAUUCCCACAGAUUGAUUUUCUUCAUUUACAUUUGUUUGCUAUCUCCGUCUCAUUCAAAGCAGUCAGGCCUGGUUUGCUUCUCUCUUCUCUGGAAAAGUUCUCUGAAGUAGGAACUAUUGUUAGAAUCAGAAUCCUGAUCUAAGAGUAUUGUAAGAAAUGCUCCAGCAAUUUCUGUCAAUAGAGGGCUUGAAGGGUAAGCCCUGAGUCUCUGAUAUCUGGGGAUAAGAGAACAAAGGGGUCUCAGAAUAACUGCUAACUAUUGUGACUAUUGCAUUGGACACCAGGCAAGUCUCUGAUAUCCAGCCAAGAUGGACGAAGGACAAGGACAAAGCCUGGGAGGAAGACUAUGAGCCUUCAGCAUGAGAAACCCCCAGAGGGACUACCGGGGACUGAUACGUAUGCGCCAGUGGGAGGGUUUGGAGUCCGGGAACUAAUUAUAAUAACCCUGCCUUUUCUAGAAGUAGUAAUGAAUAUGUAUUAGACUAGAAGCAUAAAAAGCAGCCACCUGAUGUAACGUGUGUGCGUGUUGGAGGAGCCCAGGCUCCCUGCACACCCAGCGCUCUUUACUUGCCUUUUAUUAAUCCCAUAAAUAAAUCUUAUAAAGCUAAGUUGACUUGGAAUUUG